AUCCCCAUGUCUCUGUGUCCCCAUGUCUCUCAGGGACACUGAGAGACAUGGGGACACAGAGACAUGGGGAC